rnacentral:rRNA from 1 species
UACGGAGGGUGCAAGCGUUAUCCGGAUUCACUGGGUUUAAAGGGUGCGUAGGCGGGUAAGUAAGUCCGUGGUGAAAUCUCUGAGCUUAACUCAGAAACUGCCGUGGAUACUAUUUGCCUUGAAUAUUGUGGAGGUGAGCGGAAUAUGUCAUGUAGCGGUGAAAUGCUUAGAUAUGACAUAGAACACCAACUGCGAAGGCAGCUCACUACACAAUGAUUGACGCUGAGGCACGAAAGCGUGGGGAUCAAACAGG